rnacentral:rRNA from 1 species
UACAGAGGUCCCAAGCGUUGUUCGGAUUCACUGGGCGUAAAGGGUGCGUAGGUGGUGGGGUAAGUUUGAUGUGAAAUCUCCGAGCUUAACUCGGAAAUGGCAUUGAAUACUACUCUGCUAGAGGAUUGGAGGGGAGACUGGAAUUCUUGGUGUAGCAGUGAAAUGCGUAGAUAUCAAGAGGAACACCAGUGGCGAAAGCGAGUCUCUGGACAAUUCCUGACACUGAGGCACGAAAGCUAGGGGAGCAAACAGG